rnacentral:rRNA from 1 species
UUCGCCCUUAGAGUUUGCUUCUGGCUCAGGACGAACGCUGGCGGCGUGCCUAACACAUGCAAGUCGAGCGGAGGUAACUGAGGAGUAAUCUGAGGUUAUUUUAGCGGCGGACGGGUGAGUAACGCGUGAGCAACCUGCCUUUCACAGGGGGAUAAGGCGGCGAAAGCCGCUCUAAUACCGCAUGAGACCACAGUGAAGAUUUCAGAGGGGUCAAAGGAGCAAUCCGGUGAAAGAUGGGCUCGCGUCCGAUUAGGUAGUUGGUGGGGUAAAGGCCUACCAAGCCAAUGAUCGGUAGCCGGCCUGAGAGGGUGAACGGCCACAUUGGAACUGAGAGACGGUCCAAACUCCUACGGGAGGCAGCAGUGGGGAAUAUUGGGCAAUGGGCGAAAGCCUGACCCAGCAACGCCGCGUGAGGGAAGAAGGUUUUCGGAUUGUAAACCUCUGUUCUUGGAGAAGAGCGAAAGACGGUAUCCAAGGAGGAAGCCCCGGCUAACUACGUGCCAGCAGCCGCGGUAAUACGUAGGGGGCGAGCGUUGUCCGGAAUGAUUGGGCGUAAAGGGCGCGUAGGCGGCCUAUCAAGUCAGUAGUGGAAGUCCAGCUUUCAAGGUUGGAAGUGCUAUUGAAACUGAGGGGCUUGAGUGCAGGAGAGGUUAUCGGAAUUCCCGGUGUAGCGGUGAAAUGCGUAGAGAUCGGGAGGAACACCAGUGGCGAAGGCGGGUAACUGGACUGCAACUGACGCUGAUGCGCGAAAGUGUGGGGAGCAAACAGGAUUAGAUACCCUGGUAGUCCACACGGUAAACGAUGAAUGCUAGGUGUAGGGGGUAUCGACCCCUUCUGUGCCGUAGUAAACACAAUAAGCAUUCCGCCUGGGGAGUACGGUCGCAAGAUUAAAACUCAAAGGAAUUGACGGGGGCCCGCACAAGCAGCGGAGCAUGUGGUUUAAUUCGAAGCAACGCGAAGAACCUUACCAGGUCUUGACAUCCAGGUAAAGCUGCAGAGAUGCAGUGUGUGCUUGCACAAUCUGAGACAGGUGGUGCAUGGUUGUCGUCAGCUCGUGUCGUGAGAUGUUGGGUUAAGUCCCGCAACGAGCGCAACCCUUAUUGUUAGUUGCCAUCAUUAAGUUGGGCACUUUAGCGAGACCGCCCGGGUUAACCGGGAGGAAGGUGGGGAUGACGUCAAAUCAUCAUGCCCCUUAUGUCUAGGGCUACACACGUGCUACAAUGGUCGGUACAAUAAGACGCAAGCCCGCGAGGGGGAGCAAAACUGGAAAACCGAUCUCAGUUCGAAUUGUAGGCUGAAACUCGCCUACAUGAAGCUGGAGUUGCUAGUAAUCGCGAAUCAGCAUGUCGCG